CCCUUAGAUGUCCUGGGCCGCACGCGCGCUACACUGAGUGUCUGAGAUACGAGUCUGCCUGGUCCGGCAAGGUCUAGGUAAUCGCUAAAAGACACAUCAUGCUUGGGAUAGAUUAUUGCAAAUAUUAAUCUUGAACGAGGAAUCCCUAGUAAGCGCAAGUCAACAGCUUGCGUUGAUUACGUCCCUGCCCUUUGUACACACCGCCCGUCGCUACUACUGAUUGGAUGUUUAAGCGAGGUUCUCGAACUGCUAGCGACUUAGCUUCGGUGAGGUCGCAGUGUGGGAAGUGAACCGAGCUUUGGUGUCUAGAGGAAGUAAAAGUCGUAACA
rnacentral:rRNA from 1 species